UCUACUUAUGACCACAUACACAAAACGCCCAUGGCCAUCAAGAGGUCUUCAAGCAUCAGAAUGCAAAGAGUAAUGGAGAUUCAGAUCUUUCUGAGACCCCCACUAUGAGAAUAUCUUAGGCAUAAGAGGCAUCCACCCACACUGAAAACAGUCACGGAUGAUUACAUCAUCCAGGACACAGCAGAGGCAAACCUGCACAAACUACUCAAGAGCUAGCCAUUGAGCAAUGAACACAUCUUCUACUUCCUCUACGAGAUCCUUCAGGAUCUCUAGUACACAUUUACUUAAAGUGUGCCACAGGAACCUGAAGCCCUCCGAUCUGAUUAUCAACAUCACCUGCAAGCUCAAGAUCUAUAAUUUUAGCCUGGCCUAAAUUGCUGGCCCUGAGUAUGAUCUCAUUGGUUUCUGAUGAUGUGUGGCCACAUGUUAGAACCCAGACCCAGAGAUCAUACUUAACUCCAAGGGCUCCACUAAGUCCAUCAGCAUCUGGUCUGAGGGCAGCAUUCUGCCUGAGAUACUCUCCAACUGGCCCAUCUUCCUGGCAAGCCCUACCUAGACUAGUUUAACCACAUUCUAUGUAUCCUUGGUUCCCUGUUCCAGGAUGACAUAAAUUGUAUAAUCAACAUGGAAAUUCCAAAGUACCUACAGCCUGUGCCCUCUAACACCAAGCUAUCCUAGACCAAGAAUUUCCCUCAAUCUAACUCCAAAGCUCUUAACUUGCUGGACAAGAUGUUAAUGUUCAAACCAAGCAAGUGGUUCCCAGUGCAGGAAGCAUUGUCUCAGCCCUGCCUGGACUAGUACUGUGGCCCGACAUAUGGGCGAAUGUCCAAGAAACCCUUCA
rnacentral:lncRNA from 1 species